UGUAGGAGUUGGAGACGUAUCAUGACUGGCGACUCUCCUGAUUACAACAGCUCAAGAGAUCUGAACAUGAUGGUGGGCCAGAGGGAGUGGAGCCUGAUGUUUCAUAGAGCACCUGGAACAAGAUUACGGACAACUUCGAUGACAUGGCCCAGAAGGACCCAUUCCAAUGCGUUUGGUUUUGAGACGCCAUUCAAGAGGGCAGUCAUUCCUUGUAUCAAAGGCUGUGACGUCAUCGCCCAGUCAGGCACGGGCAAGACGGCCACGUUUGCCAUCUCUAUCCUGCAGAAAGGGACCCACCAGGGAGCUGGCUCAGCGGGUAUGCUGUACCUGAGGUCAAGAAACUUACGUGUAUCAGACAGAGGGGGCAUAUUUGGACAAUCUCUAACUAAAUUUCUUCAUGCAAAAUCAGCUAAUUGGGUUAAAGGAGGUGGAUCUCUUUUAGGAUUGGUGUAGUCCGUCCAUGACUGCAUUGGUCUGAAAGUUGACCUGACUACUUGGCAGGGGAUUUCUGUUCUGUAACAAGUGAGUGAAAUGAUGGCAUUUCAUCUUUCGGGACAGACCUGAUAAUGGUGACAACCUGUUAUACUGAUCACUCAAACUGUUGAGUCCUGUAUAAUACAUUGGUGCCCAGAGCAAAUCACCAUGACGCGUUGGUAUUUGUUUGAUCUGUUUUCUUAGAUCCAGAAGGGGAUUGGGGGACUACAUGGGGGCUGCCUGCAAUGCCUAAAUUGGGGCACUAAUGUCCACAACGAGAUGCAGACGCUGCAGGCUGAGUCCCCCACACUGUGGUAGGAUCUCCAGGCCGGGUGUUUGAUAUGCUUAACAGGCGAUGCCUGUGUAAGUACUCAUCAGUCAUCAAGAUGUUUGUCCUGGAAGAAGCUGAGAUGCUGAGUCGUUGCUUCAAGGAUCCGAUAUGAGAUCGUCCAGACACUGAGCACACGUUCAAGUCGUCCUGUCGGCCACCAUGCCUACUGGUGUGCUGGAGGGGACCGAGAAGUUAAUGCGAGAGCCCAUUCGCAUUCUGGUGAACAAAAAAGAGCUUACACUAGAGGGUGUUAAGCAGUUCUACAGCAAUGUAGAGCGAGAGGGGUGGAAGUUGGACACAUUGUGGGACCUGUACGAGACACUAACAAUCACUCGGGCAGUCAUCUUCCUCAAUACCAGGGGGAAGGUCGACUGGCUGACCGAGAAGAUGAACUCAAGGGACUUAACAAUCUCUGCUCUGCAUGGAGAGAUGUGAUCAUGAGGGACUUCAGUCUGGCUCAAGCAGAAUACUUAUCACUACAGACUUAUAGGCUCGACGAAUUGAUGUGCAGCAGGUUUCCUUGUCAUUAACCAUGACCUUCCUACAAACAGGGAGAAUUAUAUUCACAGAGUUGGUCGUGGUGGCUGUUUUGGCAGAGGUGUGGCUAUAAACUUUGUGACCGAGGACAAGUGAAUUCUACGGGACAUUGAGCUGUUUAACAAUACGACAGUGGAUGGGAUGCCUUUGCAUGUGGCUGACCUGAUUUGAACCUGGGUGUUGAGGAUUUUGACGCAUUGCUAGCGGUCUUACACUCGUUAUGUCCAUUUGAGGGAAACUUCUCAAUGCUUUCCUUGAGUCAGACUUGUGAUAUCUGUAAUAUAUGGUGGUCUCAUGGACAGUUAUAGAUUCUAACCGCUGGUUGAAACCACAAGCUGUGGAGACUAAACAGUGUUUCUUACCAGUCAUUUAUUUUGUUGUACAAUUAAGGUGUGGAUUUUCUUUACCAUAAGUGUGGUAUUAAGUCUGCCAAUUAUGUUAUGCUAACAUGUUCUGUGUAAUGAGUCUGCUUCAAUGUUAUUCAUUUGCCUCACCUGGAUUUU
rnacentral:lncRNA from 1 species